rnacentral:rRNA from 1 species
AUUGAACGCUGGCGGCAUGCCUUACACAUGCAAGUCGAACGGCAGCACGGGAGCAAUCCUGGUGGCGAGUGGCGAACGGGUGAGUAAUAUAUCGGAACGUGCCCAGUAGUGGGGGAUAGCCCGGCGAAAGCCGGAUUAAUACCGCAUACGACCUGAGGGUGAAAGGGGUGGAUCGCAAGACCUCUCGCUAUUGGACCGGCCGAUAUCAGAUUAGGUAGUUGGUGGGGUAAAGGCCUACCAAGCCUGCGAUCUGUAGUUGGUCUGAGAGGACGACCAGCCACACUGGGACUGAGACACGGCCCAGACUCCUACGGGAGGCAGCAGUGGGGAAUUUUGGACAAUGGGCGCAAGCCUGAUCCAGCAAUGCCGCGUGCAGGAAGAAGGCCUUCGGGUUGUAAACUGCUUUUGUCAGGGAAGAAAUCCUCUAGGCUAAUACCUUGGGGGGAUGACGGUACCUGAAGAAUAAGCACCGGCUAACUACGUGCCAGCCGCCGCAGUAA